rnacentral:rRNA from 1 species
GACGAACGCUGGCGGCGUGCUUAACACCUGCAAGUCGAACGAGGGGGCGAACGGGUGAGUAACGCGUAAUCAACCUGCCCUUCAGAGGGGGACAACAGUUGGAAACGACUGCUAAUACCGCAUACGGGAGGAGGGGAUUGCGUCGGAUUAGCUAGUUGGAGGGGUAACGGCCCACCAAGGCGAUGAUCAGUAGGCGGUCUGAGAGGAUGAACGGCCAAAAUGGGACUUGGACACGGCCCAGACUCCUACGGGAGGCAGCCGUGGGGAAUCUUCCGAAAUGGACGAAAGUCUGACGGAGCAAAGCCGCGUUAGGGAUGACGGGCUUCGGGGUGUAAAGCUCUGUUAAUCGGGACGCGGUACCGGAAUAGAAAGCCACGGCUAACUACGUGCCAGCAGCCGCGGUAAUAC